ACCUGGAGAGCCACCCUGAGAAGGCACAGAUAAACUUGUGUCUUCUCCAGCAAGGGAGCCUCCUAGAAGAGGAAAUGGAAAAACCAUAAGAACCAGAGCUACAAAACAAUGUAUUCUGAAUGUGACAGGACCAUUACUCUCAUGAAAUCAUGGCUACUGUGUUGGACUGUACAAGACCUACACAAGACCAAGUCUAUCAACAUUCCAGUAUAGAUGCUCUAUGAGAAGAUCUGACUGAUACUGAGAGAUGCACUGAACACCUUAUUUUUCAUCAUUAUUCAGCCUGCCAGCCUGAACAACUGUACCCAUUUUAUACCCAAAGUCCUAUAAUAAGCUCCUAUAUGAGGAGUUGAUUAUCACCAACUUCCUGGAAUCUGCAUCUCUUAUAGGAGCUCUGUCCUCUCUCCUUCUCUUGAACUCCCACCUAUAAAUCUACAAUAAACUCUAAUUCACCAUC